AUUUCAGAAAAAUGAAAGAAAAUGGGAAAAGUAGAGAAGAUACAUUAAACGAUAUAGUGUCGUAUAUCGGAUUCCUACAUGCAGAAGAUCUGUUCUGUGAUGCCGCGUUCAAUUGCAGGGAUGGAAGAGUUUUGGCGCAUAAAUUCAUAUUAGGAGCUCGUAGCAGGCUUCUUCUCGAUAUAUUGGAAGAGGAUGAAUUAGAGAUUUAUAUUCCGGAUUUCAGUAUUCACCUUGUUCAUCUACUUCUAGAGCUUAUAUACGCAGGGACUGUUUGUGUUAACCAGGACGACGCUGAAAAAAUAAACGAGCUAUUAACAUUAUUAGGGAUAGAAUGUGGGUAUUCUACUAUAAGUCUACCAAGCAAAAAGCAGAAACUGAAAAUUAAACAUGAAAACAAUCUUAGCUCAAGGAAACCAGUUAUAGAAAGUAAACAAUGCCGGAAAAAAAGAAUGUUUACCUCUAAUCUAGAUAUUAACCAAUUAACUUGUGAAACCUGUUUCAAAGUUUUCCCGAAGUUAUACAAGCUGAAAAAUCAUCAAUUAAUUCAUCUGAACAGUUUCCCAUUUAUCUGUUCAAACUGUGGCAAGGGGUUUAAGAAUAAAUAUAAACUGAACGCUCAUGAGAAGGAUCACAAACUUGGGCUCAUUUUACCAGAAAAAAUUAAGGAGAAAAAGGUGAAAGAGGUAAAGGAGGUGAAAGAUAAAUAUUUUGUGUGUAAACAUUGUGGAGAAGAGUUCAAUAGUUUGCUCAACAGAAACAAUCAUAUCAGUCAGACCCACAAGAUGAACCAUUCCUGUUUCCAUUGUGCAACCAAAUUCAGAACCAAAAAAAAUUUGAUAGCACACCUUCGAGUUGUACAUAAUGAUUUAGAGAGUGUUCUAAGGCAUGUUUGUCCAAUCUGUGAUAAACGAUUCAAAAAGCCAUCGCAUUUGGAGGAUCACCAGGCUCGACAUAAUACUGUGGGUCAGCACGCCUGUAUGUACUGCCCAAAGAGGUGUGCGACACAGCAGGACUUAAACCGCCAUCUUGCCUCGCAUAGAGGUGAAGCAAAGUUCACCUGUCAGCUUUGCUUUAAAGCAUUUGUACACAGAAGUAUGUACUAUGAGCAUGUACGAAAACAUCUUGGGCAGCGACCAUAUUUAUGCAGACCCUGUAAUAAAUCUUAUGCACAGCUGAAAUGUUUGCGCCAACAUCAGAAGGUUCAUGAGAGAAAGGGUGAUUUGACAUUACUUGUUACCCCGAGCAAGGGUUCCCGGGGUUGUCACAGUUUUAUUGACGUUAUCAGCGAUCCUUAUCCGGUCAACACAGAACAGAAACAGAAGGAUUUGAAUACACAAGAGGUUUAUAUUCCUGGACCUCAGUUUACCAAGUCUACAGGAUACAAGAGUAAUCUAUCCACGGGUACACUCAAGGAGAUGCAGGUGAUCACAGAUUACACUGAGAUAUCAAGAAUAGGAUUCCAUUUGCCAGAAAACGAUGAUAAUGGAUUCCAGUCAGUGGUGGAACUAGAACAGAUGUUCCCAACUCAAGUUCAACAUAAUUCAGUACAAUCUGUACUACCUGAAUAGACAAUACUGUACUACAGUACAUUCUGUACUUCCUAAAUAAAUAAUACCGAACUGCAGUACAUUCUGUACUCCCUGAAUAGAGACUGCAUUUAUACAAAAAACAAGUUCAUUAUUUAUUUUUACUUCUGCACUGCUCCAACCCAUUUUACAUAGCUAUUUAAAGGAAACUGACCUAAUUGGUAUCCGAACUAAUUAAUGAGUAGUUUUGACAGAAAAUAUUGAAAUUUUAAACUCCGGGCCCUGCCCUGUGCGUUUUUACGGAUAUAAUUCAACUUCUCAUUAUCCCUAAAUCUAACCCCCUUCCAACUCCGCCUAUCUUGCUUAAACUAACCUAACCAAUUUUAAGAUUUAAUAAAAUGUUAGGUCUGUAAAUCCUUAGGUUAGUUUCCUUGAGGGUACCGUACUCACAUUCAGUCGUCUUUGUAUAUUCCAGA
rnacentral:misc_RNA from 1 species